UGCAAGUCGAACGGUAGCGUCGGAAGCGUAAGCUCCUGGCGCGAGAGUGGCGGACGGGUGAGUAAUGCGUAGGAAUCUGCCUUAUAGUGGGGGAUAACCCGGGGAAACUCGGGCUAAUACCGCAUAAUCUCUGUCUUUGUUUGGUAGAGUAAAGUGGGGGAUCUUCGGACCUCGCGCUAUAAGAUGAGCCUAUGUCGGAUUAGCUUGUUGGUGGGGUAAUAGCCUACCAAGGCGACGAUCCGUAGCUGGUCUGAGAGGACGAUCAGCCACACUGGGACUGAGACACGGCCCAGACUCCUACGGGAGGCAGCAGU
rnacentral:rRNA from 1 species